rnacentral:sRNA from 12 species
UAGUGAAUAAAUCCUGUUCGAAAUGAUGAUGCCUGCAUUAGUGGGUUAGGAAAAGUAGAACAGGUAUCACAG